rnacentral:tRNA from 3 species
UCCCCAGUGGCGCAAUUGGUUAGCGCGCGGUACUUAUAAUGCCGAGGUUGUGAGUUCGAUCCUCACCUGGGGAA